rnacentral:rRNA from 1 species
CAUUAACAUAACUAUCAGUACUUUAUACCUGAUCUUGUCAGAUCUCAGAAGCUAAGCAGGGUUGGGCUGGGUUAGUUCUUGGAUGGGAGACCACUGGAAAUACCAAGUGUCACAGUGG